ACUUCUAAAUAAUGAUGCUCUGGAUACGUACAUCUUGAAUAACAAGCAUCUAGACAAAUUAUACAAUACAAUUCAAGAAGCAAUCAAAAUGAAACGGAUACGAGAAGUAGAGCUACUAACAUAUUGUAAUAUCAAGCAGCCAGAAUUGUGAUACAGAUCAGACACAUGGAUCCUAGCAUUAUGCAAAUCCUUAUCUACCAUGAAUUUUACAUUUCUAGAAUACAACGUUCGGGAUGGUAAAACACAGAACUGUAACCAUCCAAACAAAUUAUACAAAUCGAGCACACAGCAAGAGGAAACAGCUCCAGGGACUCCAGUGUAUAGAGUUGAAGGUAUAUUCUAACAAAUUCAAAUAUAACCGAGAAACAAUACAAAGAACUGCAGCCUGUUCAGCUCAUUGUUCAUUCAAACUUUCUAAAAUGUCAGGACAUGUUCUAUCUCACACUGCUCAAUACUCCAACAGCGAAGAGCUGGUUGAUGUGCCCUCGCUAAAUGCAAGCAGCCGAUGUAAUUUACUGAUUGGCAGUACUAAAGCCAAACAGCUCGGCCAGCUGCAAAUCCUACACUCCAGUUCAAAGAACACUAAGAAUGCAAGGUUGUCGAAUUCACAAUCUACCAUGAAUUUACAUUCUUCUGCCUAACGUUCACUUUCAAUCCCUGAAAAAAAAACUAUAUGAAAACACGAGGAAAUGUAAGGGCAAAAUCUAUCUCGCACUGUUCAAGCUCCAACAGCGAAGAGCUGGUUGUUAUGCCCUCAUUAGAUAUGUGCAGCCGAAUUAAUUUACCGCUUGGCAGUACUACAGCCAAGCAGCUCGGCCGGCUGCAACCUCGUGAUGCAUACAUUCGCCAAGCAUCUUAGAGAUUUGAAAAUCACAAACAAUAUUAUUAACUGAGAAAUCAGAUCAAAUGUCAAGUUGGAUAAAACCUGAAACAGGAAGAACAGUACUCGGUUGCAAUUGAUCUAAGUAUAAGGAAGAUCCAGUUACAACUACCGCGAACCUGGAAGGGAGUGAAGAUAGCAGAUUAAAAAGCAUGAUGCAGAGAUGGAUAGGGAGAAGAGAGGCAGCCGAGUACCUGAGCUUCGAGAGACGAACGAAUAGGGAUUUAGUGGGUUACGAAAAGGAAAUUAGGGGUUUA
rnacentral:lncRNA from 1 species